rnacentral:misc_RNA from 1 species
GAAAUGCGAUAAGUAAUGUGAAUUGCAGAAUUCAGUGAAUCAUCGAAUCUUUGAACGCACCUUGCGCUCCUGGGUAUUCCUUGGAGCAUGCCUGUUUGAGUAUCAUGAAAUCUUCAAAGUAAAUCUUUUGUUAACUCAAUUGGUUUCUACUUUGGUAUUGGAGGUCUUUGCAGCUUCACACCUGCUCCUCUUUGUUCAUUAGCUGGAUCUCAGUGUUAUGCUUGGUUCCACUCGGCGUGAUAAGUUAUCUAUCGCUGAGGACACUGUAAAAGGUGGCCAAGGUAAAUGCAGAUGAACCGCUUCUAAUAGUCCAUUGACUUGGACAAUACUUUUAUGAUCUGAUCUCAAAUCAGGUAGGACUACCCGCUGAACUUAAGC